AUUAUACUCCCUCCGUCCGGAAUUAUUUGUCAUCAAAAUGGAUGUAUCUAAAACUAAAAUACAUCUAGAUACAUUCAUUUCAAUGACAAGUAUUUACGGACGGAGGGAGUAGUAU
rnacentral:pre_miRNA from 1 species